rnacentral:rRNA from 1 species
AGCAUUAUACAGCGAAACUGCGAAUGGCUCAUUAUAUAAGUUAUCGUUUAUUUGAUAGUACCUUACUACUUGGAUAACCGUGGUAAUUCUAGAGCUAAUACAUGCUAAAAAUCCCGACUUCGGAAGGGAUGUAUUUAUUAGAUUAAAAACCAAUGCCCUCUGGGCUCCUUGGUGAUUCAUGAUAACUCUUCGAAUCGCACGGCCUUGCGCCGGCGAUGGUUCAUUCAAAUUUCUUCCCUAUCAACUUUCGAUGUUUGGGUAUUGGCCAAACAUGGUUGCAACGGGUAACGGAGGGUUAGGGCUCGACCCCGGAGAAGGAGCCUGAGAAACGGCUACUACAUCCAAGGAAGGCAGCAGGCGCGCAAAUUACCCAAUCCCGAUUCGGGGAGGUAGUGACAAUAAAUACUGAUACAGGGCUCUUUUGGGUCUUGUAAUUGGAAUGAGUACAAUUUAAAUCCCUUAACGAGGAACAAUUGGAGGGCAAGUCUGGUGCCAGCAGCCGCGGUAAUUCCAGCUCCAAUAGCGUAUAUUAAAGUUGUUGUGGUUAAAAAGCUCGUAGUUGAACCUUGGGCCUGGCUGGCCGGUCCGCCUCACCGCGUGCACUGGUCCGGCCGGGCCUUUCCCUCUGUGGAACCCCAUGCCCUUCACUGGGCGUGGCGGGGAAACAGGACGUUUACUUUGAAAAAAUUAGAGUGCUCCAGGCAGGCCUAUGCUCGAAUACAUUAGCAUGGAAUAAUGAAAUAGGACGCGUGGUUCUAUUUUGUUGGUUUCUAGGACCGCCGUAAUGAUUAAUAGGGACAGUCGGGGGCAUCAGUAUUCAAUUGUCAGAGGUGAAAUUCUUGGAUUUAUUGAAGACUAACUACUGCGAAAGCAUUUGCCAAGGAUGUUUUCAUUAAUCAGGAACGAAAGUUAGGGGAUCGAAGACGAUCAGAUACCGUCGUAGUCUUAACCAUAAACUAUGCCGACUAGGGAUCGGACGAUGUUAUUUUUUGACGCGUUCGGCACCUUACGAGAAAUCAAAGUGC